UAAAUCCACGCCAUGAAUGUGACAAGCAUCACUUCAAACCGGGGCACAGACUCAGUAUUAUCAGACAGAGUUGAACCCUCGCUACCGGAUGGCGAGGGUUUUCUUUUGGC
rfam:Leclercia adecarboxylata strain I1 Leclercia_S84_R1__paired__contig_2, whole genome shotgun sequence.